UACAGAGGGGGCAAGCGUUGUUCGGAAUUACUGGGCGUAAAGGGCGCGUAGGCGGCCUGUUAAGUCGAACGUGAAAUCCCCGGGCUCAACCCGGGAACUGCGUCCGAUACUGGCAGGCUUGAAUCCGGGAGAGGGAUGUGGAAUUCCAGGUGUAGCGGUGAAAUGCGUAGAUAUCUGGAGGAACACCGGUGGCGGAAGGCGACAUCCUGGACCGGUAUUGACGCUGAGGCGCGAAAGCCAGGGGAGCAAACGGG
rnacentral:rRNA from 1 species